AGGAUGAACGCUGGCGGCGUGCCUAAUACAUGCAAGUCGAACGAGGUCUUCGGACCGAGUGGCGAACGGGUGAGUAACACGUUGGUACCUACCCCGAAGUGGGGAAUAACUGCCCGAAAGGGUGGCUAAUACCGCAUAAUACCGCAAGGUUAAAGCAGUAAUGCGCUUCGGGAGGGGCCUGCGUCCCAUUAGCUAGUUGGUAGGGUAAUGGCCUACCAAGGCGACGAUGGGUAGCUGGAUCGAGAGGUUGACCAGCCACACUGGGACUGAGAUACGGCCCCAGACUCCUACGGGAGGCAGCAGUAAGGAAUCUUCCACAAUGGACGAAAGUCUGAUGGAGCAACGCCGCGUGCAGGAUGACGGCCUUCGGGUUGUAAACUGCUUUUAUAUGGGAAGAUUAUGACGGUACCAUAUGAAUAAGGACCGGCUAACUACGCGCCAGCAGCCGC
rnacentral:rRNA from 1 species